GACAGAGGGUGCAAACGUUGUUCGGAAUUACUGGGCGUAAAGGGCUCGUAGGUGGCCAACUAAGUCAGACGUGAAAUCCCUCGGCUUAACCGGGGAACUGCGUCUGAUACUGGAUGGCUUGAGUUCGGGAGAGGGAUGCGGAAUUCCAGGUGUAGCGGUGAAAUGCGUAGAUAUCUGGAGGAACACCGGUGGCGAAGGCGGCAUCCUGGACCGACACUGACGCUGAGGAGCGAAAGCCAGGGGAGCAAACGGG
rnacentral:rRNA from 1 species